rnacentral:rRNA from 2 species
CCUAAGGCGAGGCUGAAAAGCGUAGUCGAUGGAAAACAGGUUAAUAUUCCUGUACUUCUAGUUAUUGCGAUGGAGGGACGGAGAAGGCUAGGCCAGCUUGGCGUUGGUUGUCCAAGUUUAAGGUGGUAGGCUGGAAUCUUAGGUAAAUCCGGGGUUCUAAGGCCGAGAGCUGAUGACGAGUUACCUUUUAGGUGACGAAGUGGUUGAUGCCAUGCUUCCAAGAAAAGCUUCUAAGCUUCAGAUAACUAGGAACCGUACCCCAAACCGACACAGGUGGUUGGGUAGAGAAUACCAAGGCGCUUGAGAGAACUCGGGUGAAGGAACUAGGCAAAAUGGCACCGUAACUUCGGGAGAAGGUGCGCCGGUGAGGGUGAAGGACUUGCUCCGUAAGCUCAUGCCGGUCGAAGAUACCAGGCCGCUGCGACUGUUUAUUAAAAACACAGCACUCUGCAAACACGAAAGUGGACGUAUAGGGUGUGACGCCUGCCCGGUGCCGGAAGGUUAAUUGAUGGGGUUAGCUAACGCGAAGCUCUUGAUCGAAGCCCCGGUAAACGGCGGCCGUAACUAUAACGGUCCUAAGGUAGCGAAAUUCCUUGUCGGGUAAGUUCCGACCUGCACGAAUGGCGUAACGAUGGCGGCGCUGUCUCCACCCGAGACUCAGUGAAAUUGAAAUCGCUGUGAAGAUGCAGUGUAUCCGCGGCUAGACGGAAAGACCCCGUGAACCUUUACUAUAGCUUUGCACUGGACUUUGAAUUUGCUUGUGUAGGAUAGGUGGGAGGCUUUGAAGCGUGAACGCCAGUUUGCGUGGAGCCAUCCUUGAAAUACCACCCUGGCAACUUUGAGGUUCUAACUCAGGUCCGUUAUCCGGAUCGAGGACAGUGUAUGGUGGGUAGUUUGACUGGGGCGGUCUCCUCCUAAAGAGUAACGGAGGAGUACGAAGGUGCGCUCAGACCGGUCGGAAAUCGGUCGUAGAGUAUAAAGGCAAAAGCGCGCUUGACUGCGAGACAGACACGUCGAGCAGGUACGAAAGUAGGUCUUAGUGAUCCGGUGGUUCUGUAUGGAAGGGCCAUCGCUCAACGGAUAAAAGGUACUCCGGGGAUAACAGGCUGAUACCGCCCAAGAGUUCAUAUCGACGGCGGUGUUUGGCACCUCGAUGUCGGCUCAUCACAUCCUGGGGCUGAAGCCGGUCCCAAGGGUAUGGCUGUUCGCCAUUUAAAGUGGUACGCGAGCUGGGUUUAGAACGUCGUGAGACAGUUCGGUCCCUAUCUGCCGUGGACGUUUGAGAUUUGAGAGGGGCUGCUCCUAGUACGAGAGGACCGGAGUGGACGAACCUCUGGUGUUCCGGUUGUCACGCCAGUGGCAUUGCCGGGUAGCUAUGUUCGGAAAAGAUAACCGCUGAAAGCAUCUAAGCGGGAAACUUGCCUCAAGAUGAGAUCUCACUGGAACCUUGAGUUCCCUAAAGGGCCGUCGAAGACUACGACGUUGAUAGGUUGGGUGUGUAAGCGCUGUGAGGCGUUGAGCUAACCAAUACUAAUUGCCCGUGAGGCUUGACCAUA